rnacentral:lncRNA from 1 species
GGCGGCGCCCACGCGGGGGCGUAGGAGGAGGGGGAGCCAGAGUCUGGGGCUGGGUGAGCGAGGUGCGAUCUCUGGCCUAGAUGGAGUGGGGUGGGGCGGUAGCGGAGUCCCUCGGCUUGGACAGCUCCAAAUCUUCAAACUUCACGCAGACCCCCACCUACAGUACUGCGCUCCCGGCUCUGCUAGGCGGAGAUCUGGGCGGGUCCUUUUGCUUUCUACCGUAAGCUUGGCACUGCCGUAUGCAAAUUCUCGGAAACCUCUCCCAGCCCCAGAGGGCGUGACUCCAGCCGGUGUACCUGGGUGUUAUCGCUUUAGUGUAUCAUUUGGCAUUGUGCAUUUUAUUCGCCAGUGAGCCUUCUCGAGUUCUAGGGCAGACACGCUAAUGUUUGUUGCUGAGCACUGGCAUCAAAAAAGAACCCGUGUGAGGCCUUUCUGCGCUGACCAGUAUGUAUAUUUUCAUGUAUUUCUACCGGGGAGAUCAGUAGAGGCUGAAGUGUAGGGUCUUUAGUGAGUCUGUUACGAACCACAUGGUAGCUGUAGCACGCCUUUUUAUAGCUCUUAUCUGAUGAAAGGAUUACAAUGGCUCCCAUAUGGAUGUAUCAAAAUAUAUUAAUUCAUUAAAAGGUAUUAUAUUCUUGCGCUGUGCAAGCUCCCCCUCCAUCUUUCCCUAGUGGGCAAGUACUGUAUCUUAUCAAAUUUAUAUUUAUUUUACCACCUA